UUUAUCCGCCUUGGGUCGACGUUGAUCGCUGGGAAGGACAGGAAGUACUGAAAGGACUGAAAGACCUUGCUGAAAGACCAUUUACGUUAAAUUUCUGACGCACCAUGCAUGACAGUAAUUUCACCGUUCAGUGUUCAACCCAAAGUAUGUCAUUCAUUCUUUGAAGUUAUUCAAGCUUGCAUUACUUAAAUUGACGAUUAGAUCAGUUUGCGUCCUGACUAUGACUAUGCCGAGUAACAUGUUGCUCCUCAGUCAAAUUGCAGGCUAUGUAAUAGCUUUAAUUUUAUCUUUAUGCAUCACUAUACCCAUGGCAUUACACCAAGAUGAAUUUAGAGGUCACUGUCUGCUCUUUUCUACUGGUAUAUGGCAAGAAAAUGAUGGUCAAUUCAAAAUAGAUUGGGCAUCUCAAGCGUAUUGCAACUUCACAAUUUUUGUCGGUGUGUUACUGUUUGUAAUCUCAGCAAUUCAAGUCUACCGAAUGGCCAGAUUCGCCCACAAAAACACUGACAGCACAUUUUUAUCAUCCUUUGCGGAUGCAGUCACCUGCAUUGUUCUCUGUACAUUUACUCUCAUUUCUGCUCUCAUGAUAACACUUGGGUUCAAGACAUGGUGUAAUGAAAUUAGCAAAAGAUUCCCUUCGUGUGAAAUAGCUGCGGGUAGUGCAUUUGAUCUUAAGGAUGGCAUUGAUACCUCCGGAUUUUAUAUUGAAUUGGGAGCUGCACAGUUUGGAGCAUGGGUGUCAUUUUCCUGUUGGGUUUUUCUGUCUGUAUGCGCUCUCCUCAAGUUGUGCCGGUUCCAUGCGAUUGAGAACAUGCGAGUAUCCAUGUUAAGAGAAAGACAACGACUCAUCAAUGAAGCACAUACAUCUCCAAAAUCACGUGAUCAUAGUUUAAACAAACAAUGGGAAAACCAAGCUCCAAGUUUGACGUGACGUGGAAUAACAGUGUAAAAUUUAUGGUAUCACCUCCCAUAACCCAGUCAGAGUAAACCCAUCUCGAAUUUGUUCCAUCGCAAGUCCAAUCUCACUAAAGAACGUUAGGGGUCGAGGUGUGACAAGUUCUCCUCCAGCACCAUACAUGACCAAAUUAGAAGACAAGUCUUUGAUUGAAUCUUCAAAUUCAGGCUCCUCUAUCUCUUCCACUGAGGGAGUCUCUGGCAAUGGUGGCUGAAAUAAAGAAGCAGUUAUUUUACAAGGUGGAUCCUGACCUGAUUAUUAAAGUUCUGCAUUUGUUGACUAGACAAGAUAAGACUAAGGAGGAAAGGGGCUACGUGAUUGGUUUGCUUUGUAAUUUAUUCUCAUAGUCGUACCCACGUUGAGUGGAUUUUAACGACAAACUAUUACAAUUCGAGAGGUGGCUUUAACUUCUUAUCAAUUCUACCCAACCCACUGUAGGAAUCAAACUGAAUAAUAUUUCUCGUCUUAAUUUUUCAAUAAUUAUUGUGUCACAGCAUAGGUUUCAGUUUUGAAUAAAUUUUACUGAAUUAGGCUAAAAUAGUCAACUUUAAGGCAUGUGAGAGACCUCUAAAAAUUCGAAUUUUGGGCCGAAAUUCUUUUGAUGUGUUUUUCUGCCAUCAAACAUAUUCACCCCAAAUGAGUCACACCCUAGCCACCUUCCAUCCAGUGACACAAAUUUAAAUAUCCCACCUAGCAAAAUUUGAAAUCUAUGUAUCAAUCCACCUUUCCAUUAAUAGUUUGAGUUUCACAAACCUGGUUUUGUAGCACAAAAUGAACUCCUAAUUCAGGGUUCUUAGAGUGGAUUUUGUGUAGCUGGGCAAGUUCAUGUGCAAUUUUAUGUAAUUUUUCACUGGGGUCUAUAUGAAACCCCAAGAUGUAACCUCCGCUGUUGAUGGAGCUUUCCACAACUAAAGCUGGACCAAAUUUUGAAUCCCUGAUUUUAAUCUGUAAUAUAGCACAUAGAUGCAAGGGAUAUAGUCAUUUUUAAAGAAGGAAGUAAGUUACAUCGAAGAACUUUUGAUGAAUGUUGAAACAUUCAAUUGGUUUUGAAAUUUCAUCCGGCAGAAAUUGAAAGUUGAAUGUUUUGAUUAAUUCCUUUAGACAUCUGCCAUUUUUUAACAUUCUUUUCAAAUUGCAUCAUGUAACAAUUUUUAGCUUACUCUACUACACAUCAAUUGCUCCAAGUGUCUCAAGAUGCAGGAAUGAUAUAAAAAGUCAAAGGGCGCUUUGAUCAGAAUCUAGCCGUAAAAUCUUGCCGAAAGAUACUGAAAUAAACUAUUUUCAAAGUCAUUCACACUUUAAAGAUAACCUCCCUUUUUCAUUCUCGGAACUGACCGUGCUAAGUUUGGUGAACCAGUCUGAUUAAAUUUCGGUGAAAGUUUGUCCAUUUAGACAAAGCAACAACAGUGGUCUAUUAUGAACAAGAACCUGAAUUAGAGUGAAAGAAAAAAACAGGAUCGCUCAAGUUGAUAGUGAUUGAAGUUCUUAAUGAUAUGACUAGACAGAUGAGAAUACUUACAGAUAUAAUUUGAAUGUGAGGCACGGAGACAUUGAAAGCCUCAUUCAUGGCAGCGAACCAUACCAGCCGUACAUUGGAAAUUAUAAAUUUUCCCAAGUUGCCCUAAAAGUAAGAGGGAAAAGAUGUUUUUUGUAAAACAAAGAAUUCACAAAUGAGUCGUGACAGCAUAUGUAUGCGCAUGCCAAAUGAAGCUUUAAGCUUGCUCGACGUUUAUUAAAUGGCCGUGAAGAAACAUGACAUCAGGAAAAACGAAGGGAAUGUGAGGCAAAAGGAAAAGAAUAUCCAUUGAGUUGGGAUGGUAGGAGAUUUCAGUGAGCAUCGUGAUUUGUGAGUUGGAAGAUAUUGCAAAAAGGAUGAUGAAAUGAAAGCAAGUGAGCAGAAGUCUAAUUUCCAGUAUGAUGGGAAAUUAUUUCUCUUGUACAGAUUCUCAAAGACAUAUCUAGAGCCCAACUUACCUGAUCACUGGACAGAUUCCAAACUCCUUCUACUGUAGCUAUAACGUGCUCCAAUGAUAUAUGCUUUUCUUUUUAUGUAUAUACCAUGCGACUGUGUGCGUGUGAAUUGAGAUGAUGAAUUGGAAUGAAAAAUGCACGUGCAAGGUGUGUCUUGCGCCCACAACCAUGCCUCAACCUCAGUUCCUCGGUGUGUAUGGUGCGAAUUUAGACUCCUCUGCUUCUCCGCUGCUACAAAUACAAUACACACGCAGAUAGAUGGGCUCUUCAGAACACAUUACCCGACUCCUCUACGUUCAAUCGGCCAGAAACGGCGUGGCAGACAGACACCUUGUUAACUCAAUCACCAUUCGAAUACUAUAUUUUGGUGGUCUAGAAGUGCUGAAAAAGUUCGAAAAUUCCCCAAGAAGGUUCGGAAGUUUUCGUCUCAUACAACGCGUGAUUUUUAAUGAGACAGCCUGGGAAGUAUGUAAUCCCUUGCACGUUGAUUCAUAGUAGAGAAUUUACCCACUAGACCGCGAUUGUGCAGCCAGUUGAUCUUCAGACCGCAAAUGAGCUUCGAAUUUCCUGGUUAUAUCAUUUCUGUUGCAAUCUGGGCGUAAAUUCUAAAAAUGUUUUAAAUUUUGGCACCCAAAAGAGCUGAAUUUUUCUGUCAAGGGGGUACCAUAUUUUUUGAAGUCAUGAAAAAGUACUGCAAAAGUAAGGAGCCAGCCGGUUUCAGUAAACACCCUGAGGAGAAGCCAGUGCUCCAAGCACAAGAGCGUUCAAAACAGUAUCUCAAAAUCUUCAUUCCCUCAUAUUAAUUUUCUGGUGAAAAUAUUAAUUGCAUCCUUGGCCAGUUGCUCUCCACCCUCAACCAUUUAGUCAAGUGAACGAUUUUCAUGAUUUUUGCUUCUGUAUUGCUGUUCAACGGUUUACGUCCAGUGCCUCAAAGGUGUUCCUUGUUGUAGAUUAAUAUAUAUAAUUUCUGAACACAUUGACAAAUCAAGUCUUGUACGUGAUUCCUAGGAUCUUAGCACUGAUCUUAGCAUAAGAUGACGACUGAUAUUCUUACAAGAAACUGCAGGAGCAUAAAAUAUACCAAAAUGUGUGGACCCGUACUAACUAUGUAAAUUCCCCUUGUCUUUUUUUGUAUGUGAAAAUGCACACCAUUAAAGGAGGAGUAUCGUUUUGGGCCUUUUCCGGCCCCACCUGGAUUUUGCUGAAUGUUUCAUAUUUUCAAAGUACUAGUCCUAGGUAGACUUUAUGCCAACUAUUCUACCGAACAGAGCCCAUGCAAGGGUGCAACAUCGCCUCAAACCCAGAAUCUUGGCACCGAAAAAUAGUUAUUUUUUUUUACUUUUUCGACUGUUAUCACCCUUCUAGCAGAUGAUUCCUAUGCAUUUUUUGCGCACUUACCGUUUCUGGCCUUUUAAAGGCCUCCGAUAAAUUUUAAUUGUUGCCAUUUUUGGCCCAUUUUUAGGGUUUCUUUCAAUUAUACACACGUAGAAAUCAAUUCAAACUAAGAACCGUGUACGUUUUUGAAAAGAACGCAAAAAAACGAAUCAAUAAUGCUCAGUAAAAUUUUUUUCUACCUUGCCAAAUUUUCGAGAAAAAUCGCUCCAAAGAGCCUAAAACGGCCAAAAUUCGAUAAAUUGCCACGCUUUAGGUUCAAGAAAGCGGGGUACAACUUUCAUAUUGACGUACGUAACAGUUCUUACCUACAUAUACAACAUAUUAAAAAAUUAUAGUUGUACCUGGAUUCCCAAGAUGUGAAAAUUGACUGGGAUGUCGAUUUCAGCGGCGUUUUUUACUUGAAGGUAGCUCUUUUGAAUGUUUUUCGACCUUAGUUACCCUCUAUGGGUGUGUACUAUAUGUAUUUUUCUGCGUACUUUUCAUAUCUGGCCAUAAAAAUGGCUUCCUGUGAAUUUUGAAAGGCCUCACGGUCCAUUGUUGCCAAUUUUCACCAAUUUUUAGAGGUUUUUUCAAGUUUACGUGUGUGAAACUUAAUUUAAUCUAAAAACCGUGUACAUUUUCGGAAAGAACGUAAUAAAAUACAUAUAUUGGGUGAUUGUAACUUUUCCCUACGUUGCCAAAUUUUCGAGAAAAAUCGUGCUGAAGCGCCAAAAGUGCCAAAAAUUGGAUUAAUCGUCACGUCGAAGGUUUAAGGAAGUGAAUUUUGAAUUUUCUUUCACUACAAAUAACGUAUCGAAAAUGGAAAAUUGCAAUUCGUCUCACAGAACAUGUAAUGGCUCAGAUGAACGUGAUUAAACGGACCCUCAAGGUGCUUUUACCUUAUCCUUCACUCCAGUUCACCUCUCUAUUCCUGUAACCUCGAGAUAAUCCUUGGUUCUCAAGAUGCUUGCUAAAGGCCAAAUAUACAAAGAAGCGCCAAAAAUGCCAAAAAUUGGAUUAAUCGUCUUGUCGAAGGUUCCAGGAAGUGAUUAAUGACUUUCAUGUGGAUCAUGGGACACUUUUCCCACGAAGUUUCUGUUGUUUGGUAUAUUUGGCCUUUAGCAAGCAUCUUGAGAACCAAGGAUUAUCUCGAGGUUACAGGAAUAGAGAGGUGAACUGGAGUGAAGGAUAAGGUAAAAGCACCUUGAGGGUCCGUUUAAUCACGUUCAUCUGAGCCAUUACAUGUUCUGUGAGACGAAUUGCAAUUUUCCAUUUUCGAUACGUUAUUUGUAGUGAAAGAAAAUUCAAAAUUCACUUCCUUAAACCUUCGACGUGACGAUUAAUCCAAUUUUUGGCACUUUUGGCGCUUCAGCACGAUUUUUCUCGAAAAUUUGGCAACGUAGGGAAAAGUUACAAUCACCCAAUAUAUGUAUUUUAUUACGUUCUUUCCGAAAAUGUACACGGUUUUUAGAUUAAAUUAAGUUUCACACACGUAAACUUGAAAAAACCUCUAAAAAUUGGUGAAAAUUGGCAACAAUGGACCGUGAGGCCUUUCAAAAUUCACAGGAAGCCAUUUUUAUGGCCAGAUAUGAAAAGUACGCAGAAAAAUACAUAUAGUACACACCCAUAGAGGGUAACUAAGGUCGAAAAACAUUCAAAAGAGCUACCUUCAAGUAAAAAACGCCGCUGAAAUCGACAUCCCAGUCAAUUUUCACAUCUUGGGAAUCCAGGUACAACUAUAAUUUUUUAAUAUGUUGUAUAUGUAGGUAAGAACUGUUACGUACGUCAAUAUGAAAGUUGUACCCCGCUUUCUUGAACCUAAAGCGUGGCAAUUUAUCGAAUUUUGGCCGUUUUAGGCUCUUUGGAGCGAUUUUUCUCGAAAAUUUGGCAAGGUAGAAAAAAAUUUUACUGAGCAUUAUUGAUUCGUUUUUUUGCGUUCUUUUCAAAAACGUACACGGUUCUUAGUUUGAAUUGAUUUCUACGUGUGUAUAAUUGAAAGAAACCCUAAAAAUGGGCCAAAAAUGGCAACAAUGGGCCAUAAGGCCCCUUAAAAUUUAUCGGAGGCCUUUAAAAGGCCAGAAACGGUAAGUGCGCAAAAAAUGCAUAGGAAUCAUCUGCUAGAAGGGUGAUAACAGUCGAAAAAGUAAAAAAAAAUAACUAUUUUUCGGUGCCAAGAUUCUGGGUUUGAGGCGAUGUUGCACCCUUGCAUGGGCUCUGUUCGGUAGAAUAGUUGGCAUAAAGUCUACCUAGGACUAGUACUUUGAAAAUAUGAAACAUUCAGCAAAAUCCAGGUGGGGCCGGAAAAGGCCCAAAACGAUACUCCUCCUUUUUUUUUUAUCAAAAUGCACUGUUAAACCUAUCAAUGUAUUUUUUGGCAUUUUUCCCUGUUAGAUUAGUUAAAUUAUGAAUGCUGUUUAGUAUUCUGUUUUAAGUGUUGUGUUGAAUCCUUGCUUUUUUUUGAUAACUGCCAGUAAAAAUGUGGCAACCCUGUUACCCCAUGCCCCCUUGUAAACCCUCCAUUUUCUCUCAAGGGAAGGUGUCCAUUAUAUUCACCAUUCUUGGGCUGUAAUGUAUUACCUACUCUUUUCUUUUCAAUUUGUAUUUAUUGUAUCUUUCUUGCCUCAUCACCCUCGUCAUAAACUUAACUUGACCAAAAAUGUCAAUAAUGAUAGAAGUGGCUGUAGUUAUUUCAAUUAACUAUCCGCUUCUAAUGGAAAGGAACUUGGUAAGCAGGCAGGAAAUUGUACUUUGGUAUUUAAGGACACUUCAUUGAAAAUUCCAACUCCCUUUGCCAGGGCGCUGCACUAUGGGUCCGUAGCGGCGCAAAAUCCAAUUUUUCGACAUUUUUUUCCCGUCAUCAGAGCCAUCUUAAUCGAUGCCCAGACACCUACUGAUAACAAAAUUACAUGGGAAUAUCCAAAAUAUUCACUAUACCUGCGGUUUCCACUGGACGCGCCUCUGCCGCGUAUUUCCAAGCAAGUUCUGCUGCUGCGCCGCGCCGUCUACCGCACGGCUAAUCGCGCCGCGACGCCGACCGCGGCCAGCCUCGGCGACGUUCCACGAGAGGGCGCUCGCGUCACUAAGAUAGCUUAUGUUUGUUAAGGUCUUUUUAGUUCUAUUUAUGUAAAGGAAGUGAUGAUUUUGUCUGGUCCCCAGAGAUGAAUAAAUUCGUAAAUAAAACAAAGAAGGUCUCAAGGUUCAA